ACACUUACCAGCACACGAUCUCCCAGGUGGAGGUCCUUGUCACCACGCUUCACAGAACCGCUGUCAGAGAGGUUGGAACCAGACUCAUUGCCUGUCUUCACGGAGCUGUUAAGGACACUCUCCCGCAGGGGGAUGACUCGGCUGGCUACCAGGGGUGUCCAGUGUUUGAGCAUCUCAGGGACACACUGCCCACACAGGGACACGGUCUGCACUGGAGGGGCUGAUAGGGUAGAGCUCUUGCAUGAGGCCUGGGCUCCAUCCUCAGGACCUCAAAACACAAACAAACAAAAAACAAAACAGAAGUUGGACUGAUUAGUGGGAAAAGGAGCCUGCCCCCCAAGCCCAACAAUUUGAAUUCAAUCCUCAGGACCCACAUGUUGGAAAGAUUCAACUUUUUUAAGGAGUCCUUUGACCUCCAGAUGUGUGCCAAGGAAUGAAUGCCACCCCUCCCUUCCAUAAUAAACAAACAAAUGCGAA